AAAAUCUCUUAAUGCUGGACUUGAGAUCUUUGUAGCCAUGACAGCAUCCCUGGUCACCUUCCCCAGCUCUAAAUGAGAGACUGGGACCUAGGAGCAUAUGUCAGCUCAAGCCCCUCAGUUACUGAAAGCUUCAAGACUAGAAUAUGCCUGGGAUGGGAGGCAGGAUUGGGGACGUCAUCAGCAGUAGGAGGGACCUAGGUGUUUGUUGACAGCAGCCCUUGAUUAAGCAGGAGGGUGCUGUGCCAGGGGCUGGUUCAGAAAAAAUCCCCUGCCUUGUAGGAUUCCAGGAAAAUGGUCAUCCUCUCCACCCCACCCCACCCCCAUGGUUUGUGGUUAGAGUCAGGCCUCAGGGCCUUUGGGGACCCAACUCAGCUCCUGGAUUUCACCAUCAUAUCCCUUUCCCGCCGGGUCUGUAUUGAAGGCCUUGUCUGGGUCACACUAUCUGGAGGCUUAUCUGGCCUCAGCUGGUACUUGUGUUGUAAAGGCAGGGCAUCCACACCCCCACAAUUGGGGGCAGGACUGACCCCAGGUGUUUCAUUUGGCCUGUGUGGCAGGUUUGAAAGUUGGAUGUCAUUUCCAGAAUUGAAAAUUUGGGUGAUUUCACAUGACAAUUAGUUUUCCGAGCUUGUCUUAAACAGGACGUCUUUGAAGGCUGGGUGGCAACUGUCCCCAGAUUCACCAAUCUUCUGGAUGGCAGGCUCCUCAAGCCCCGAGUGUUGUAAGUCAGGUCUGUCAUCCCAGCUGCUCUGAAGACUGAGGCAGGAGGAUCACAAAUUCAAGGUCAGCCUGAAUAACUCCUUAAGACCUUUUUCAAAAUAAAACUCUGAAGGUUUAACUCAGUGGUAGAGCACUUGAGAUAAAUAAGGCCCUAGAUCAAUAUCCAGUACCAGCAAAACAGAGGGAAUACACAAGUGCUCUGUGACUUCCAGUCAGACUGUCCCAAGCCACUUCCCAUGAACCAUGAGGCCUCUGAGGCCCCAUCCUCCUAGAACUCACAGCUUCCAGUAUAUCCCAUCUUGUCCAGUCUCUCAUUGCUCUCCAGGUACCACCCAGGUCCCCACAAGGGAAGAGAGUGUGGGAUGCUUUUGGCCCAGCCUGGAUGGCAGUGACAGAUCUAUGGGAUAUAUGGCAUGAAUGGAGGGGAUAGCGGAGAUGUUCAAGAGCUGCUGUCCCCCAGCAACACUAUCCCUGUUCUUUCUUUCUUUCUUUUUUUUUUUAAGAUUUAUUUAUUUAACGGGAUGGUUGUGAGCCACCAUGUGGUUGCUGGGAUUUGAACUCUGGACCUUCGGAAGAGCAGUCGGGUGCUCUUACCCACUGAGCCAUCUCACCAGCCCCCCUGUUCUUUCACAGUAUCAUCACAGGGCACUUGGCAGGCUCAUGACAUUGUCAGACUGUAGUCACUUCUUACCAUCUAGUAGGUGGCAACAUCCUUAGUCUUCUAGUUAGGAAUAGCUCCAGGCCUUUGCCUUUCCCCGACUUUGGAUCUGGGGUAGACUCUGGACAGAUGUCAGUGAAACCCUUCAAGGCGGUGACCAUAGUGACCAUAGCAGCAGCACAGGUAUGGGCACAGUAUCCCUUCCCGUCUGGCCUUCUGUCAAGUCAAAGUGUGUUCUGCAUCCUGACCCAAACACAGCUUGGCUCUCUUCACAAGGCCUAGAGGCAGGCCUGUGCCAGGUGUUGGCUGUUAGUGCUGGAUGCUGUGACCCCAUUUCCCUGCCCAUCCUAGGCAGUGGGCAGCUGGAUGCUCCUGCCUAGCAGAGAUGUCCAGAUGGCUCUACCUGAGGCAAGGAGGACUGGCCUGACCUGUCAGAGGAGCCAGCCCUGCCCUCUCUGACUUCCUGCUCCUGCCACCCAACACCUGAGUCAGUGGGCAGGCUCUGAGGGGGUGGCAUGAGGGGAGGCCUAAACAGGCUUCUUCAGGAGGUGUUUCAGAGAGUUGGUGAACUGCCCGUGCUCCCGUGGAAUUCUCGGGGUUCUUCUCAUGCUCUCUCCUGGGCAGUACAGAGUUGUCCCCAGCUCUGCUCCAGUGCUCUGCUCCUUUAGUUCCCAAUCUCCCAACCUUUCCUGCCUCAAAAGUCUGUGCACCCGUCUCGUUCCCUCCCCACUUUGUUUAAAUCGUACCAUCUAGCCUAACAUGUAUAAGGCCCUGAAUCACAGCUCCCAAGUUUC
rnacentral:lncRNA from 1 species